GGCGUGCUUAACACAUGCAAGUCGCACGAGAACGCUUCAGCUUGCUGAGGCUAGUAAAGUGGCGCACGGGUGAGUAACGCGUGGGUAAUCUACCUCCGAAUUGGGGAUAACACUGCGAAAGCGGUGCUAAUACCGAAUGACAUUCCUUGAACCCCGGUUUGAGGAAUCAAAGGUGGCCUCUACAUGUAAGCUACCGUUUGGAGAUGAGCCCGCGUACCAUUAGCUUGUUGGUGGGGUAACGGCCCACCAAGGCGACGAUGGUUAGCUGGUCUGAGAGGAUGAUCAGCCACACUGGAACUGACACACGGUCCAGACUCCUACGGGAGGCAGCAGUGAGGAAUUUUGCGCAAUGGGGGAAACCCUGACGCAGCAACGCCGCGUGAGUGAUGAAGGCCUUCGGGUCGUAAAGCUCUGUCAAGCGGGAAGAACCUGCCGCGUGAUAAUACCACGAGGCACUGACGGUACCGCUGAAGGAAGCACCGGCUAACUCCGUGCCAGCAGCCGCGGUAA
rnacentral:rRNA from 1 species